AUUGAACGCUGGCGGCGUGCCUAACACAUGCAAGUCGAGCGGUAACAGGUGUAGCAAUACAUGCUGACGAGCGGCGGACGGGUGAGUAACGCUUGGGAAUCUGCCUAUUAGUGGGGGACAACCCGGGGAAACUCGGGCUAAUACCGCAUACGCACUACGGUGGAAAGCCGGGGACCGCAAGGCCUGGCGCUAACAGAUGAGCCCAAGUCGGAUUAGCUAGUUGGUAGGGUAACGGCCACCAAGGCGACGAUCCGUAACUGGUCUGAGAGGACGACCAGUCACACCGGAACUGAGACACGGUCCGGACUCCUACGGGAGGCAGCAGUGGGGAAUAUUGGACAAUGGGCGAAAGCCUGAUCCAGCGACGCCGCGUGGGUGAAGAAGGCCUGCGGGUUGUAAAGCCCUUUCAGUGGGGAAGAAAAGCCUCGAGCUAACACCUCGGGGUCUUGACGUAACCCAUAGAAGAAGCACCGGCUAACUCUGUGCCAGCCGCCGCCGUAAU
rnacentral:rRNA from 1 species